GAUGAACGCUGGCGGCGUGCCUAAUACAUGCAAGUCGAGCGAACGGACGAGAAGCUUGCUUCUCUGAUGUUAGCGGCGGACGGGUGAGUAACACGUGGAUAACCUACCUAUAAGACUGGGAUAACUUCGGGAAACCGUAGCUAAUACCGGAUAAUAUUUUUAACCGCAUGGUUCAAAAGUGAAAGACGGUCUUGCUGUCACUUAUAGAUGUAUCCGCGCUGCAUUAGCUAGUUGGUAAGGUAACGGCUUACCAAGGCAACGAUGCAUAGCCGACCUGAGAGGGUGAUCGGCCACACUGGAACUGAGACACGGUCCAGACUCCUACGGGAGGCAGCAGUAGGGAAUCUUCCGCAAUGGGCGAAAGCCUGACGGAGCAACGCCGCGUGAGUGAUGAAGGUCUUCGGAUCGUAAAACUCUGUUAUUAGGGAAGAACAUAUGUGUAAGUAACUGUGCACAUCUUGACGGUACCUAAUCAGAAAGCCACGGCUAACUACGUG
rnacentral:rRNA from 1 species